rnacentral:rRNA from 1 species
UACGGGGGGGGCAAGCGUUGUUCGGAAUUACUGGGCGUAAAGGGCGUGUAGGCGGUCAGGUAAGUGGGACGUGAAAUGCCUCGGCUCACCCGAGGAGCGGCGUCCCAUACUGCUUGGCUUGAGUACGGGAGAGGAUGUGGGAAUUCCUGGUGUAGCGGUGAAAUGCGUAGAUAUCGGAAGGAACAUCAGUGGCGAAAGCGGCUUCCUGGACCAGCACCGACGUUCAGGCACGAAAGCGUGGGGAGCAAACAGG